rnacentral:rRNA from 1 species
GACAGAGGGUGCAAACGUUGUUCGGAAUUACUGGGCGUAAAGCGCGUGUAGGCGGCUUGGCAAGUCGGGUGUGAAAGCCCUGGGCUCAACCUAGGAAGUGCACUCGAAACUGCUUCGCUUGAGUGUCGGAGAGGAAAGCGGAAUUCUCGGUGUAGAGGUGAAAUUCGUAGAUAUCGAGAGGAACACCGGUGGCGAAGGCGGCUUUCUGGACCGACACUGACGCUGAGACACGAAAGCGUGGGUAGCAAACAGG